rnacentral:sRNA from 1 species
UCUUCAUGCAACAAGUAUUUAUUAAGCAUUUACCAUGUACCAGGCACUGCCAUAGGUGUUAGGGACGUAGUAGUAAACAAGACACAGGGCCCCUGAAUACACAUUUUUGUGCGGGUUGUGCCCAGCUCAAUGCCCCCUAGUCUAGGGGACCAGUUGAGCUGAAAUCCAGCAAACCCUGAGGGCUGUGCCCAUCCAGGCCCCACCCCACAAGUCCCUCCGAGACAGUCUGCUGCCACAAGAAGAAAAGCCCUGCCUAUUUUCCCUUCCUGGGGGCAGUGAGACAGUGCCUGUCCCUCGCUGACCUGCCUGGGCUCUGCAGCACAGAGGGGGCAGGUGAAGCCCGGGAUGAGAAAAGACUGGGGCUUGGAGCAGAAAUCCCAACUGUGCGGGCAGAUGUCUUGGCUCUUCCUUGGUAGGCCAGGCACAGGGAUGGGAACCCGGUCUUCCAUUCCCAGCCCAGUGCUGUUCCCGCGUCCCCGCUGUGGAACUACACAGCCCAGUGCUGUUCCCACAUCCCCACUGUGGAACUACACAGCACAGUGCCCUGCCACAUACCAGAGAAGGAGUGCCCUCUGAACUCCUCCAGACACCCCUGAAAAAUGGCCUCUUCUCCCCUAAAUACCAGAGGGGGCAGUUUGGCCCCACCAAGUAGAAAUUUAAGAGACCUGGUUCCAAUUUGGCUGUGCCACUGCUUGCCUGGUGACCCCUCUGAGCCUGGAACCCCCACCUGUGGAGACAGGGGUCUGGGUGGGCUCAUGGCUCAUUCUAUCUCUUGGCUCCCCCUGGCACCAGUGCGGACCUGCCCCCUGGAUGAGUUCCAGUGCAACAACACCUUGUGCAAGCCGCUGGCCUGGAAGUGCGAUGGCGAGGAUGACUGUGGGGACAACUCAGAUGAGAACCCCGAGGAGUGUGCCCGGUUCGUGUGCCCUCCCAACCGGCCCUUCCGUUGCAAGAAUGACCGCGUCUGUCUGUGGAUCGGGCGCCAAUGCGAUGGCACGGACAACUGUGGGGAUGGGACUGAUGAAGAGGACUGUGGUGAGCAGGGGGCCGACGAGAGGCCUGCAGGGGACGGGUAGUGCACAGUGGGGUGAGUCUGGUCCUCGUGGGAGCUGCACUGGGGUUAGGGUUAACCAGGAGGACUCGCCCAGGAAGGGGAGGAUCCAUUGCUAGGAGCCUGGGGGCUUUUCGUUAGGAAAGAGAAGCCCCUGGGGAAGGCUCUGGGGGCUGCCUGAUGCCUUAGGUCUUGGAGGUGGGGCUGGGAACCCAAAUGUUUGACCUGCUCCCCCUGCAAGCCUUGUCACUUAGGAAUUGGGAGCCACUGUUAUCUAUGGGGUUGCCGUGGGAGGAGGAGGCAGGGGAGAAUACCCAGGGCCUAAAGCCUCUGCCCUCCUCAGAGCCCCCCACAGCCCAGACCACCCACUGCAAAGACAAGAAGGAGUUUCUGUGCCGGAACCAGCGCUGCCUCUCCUCCUCCCUGCGCUGCAACAUGUUCGAUGACUGCGGGGACGGCUCUGACGAGGAGGACUGCAGCAUCGACCCCAAGCUGACCAGCUGCGCCACCAAUGCCAGCAUCUGUGGGGACGAGGCACGCUGCGUGCGCACCGAGAAAGCGGCCUACUGUGCCUGCCGCUCGGGCUUCCACACCGUGCCCGGCCAGCCCGGAUGCCAAGGUAGGAAAGCGGGGCAGAGCAGGGGUGGACACCCCAACUGUGGACUCUCAUGACCCUCCCUGUAACCCUUAGACAUCAACGAGUGCCUGCGCUUCGGCACCUGCUCCCAGCUCUGCAACAACACCAAGGGCGGCCACCUCUGCAGCUGCGCUCGGAACUUCAUGAAGACGCACAACACCUGCAAGGCCGAAGGCUCUGAGUACCAGGUCCUGUACAUCGCUGAUGACAAUGAGAUCCGCAGCCUGUUCCCCGGCCACCCCCAUUCGGCUUACGAGCAGGCAUUCCAGGGUGACGAGAGUGUCCGCAUUGAUGCUAUGGAUGUCCAUGUCAAGGCUGGCCGUGUCUAUUGGACCAACUGGCACACGGGCACCAUCUCCUACCGCAGCCUGCCACCUGCUGCGCCUCCUACCACUUCCAACCGCCACCGGCGACAGAUUGACCGGGGUGUCACCCACCUCAACAUUUCAGGGCUGAAGAUGCCCAGAGGCAUCGCCAUCGACUGGGUGGCCGGAAACGUGUACUGGACCGACUCGGGCCGAGAUGUGAUUGAGGUGGCGCAGAUGAAGGGCGAGAACCGCAAGACGCUCAUCUCGGGCAUGAUUGACGAGCCCCACGCCAUUGUGGUGGACCCACUGAGGGGGUGGGCAAGGGCCCUGGGGGGAGGCCUCUGGGCUGGUGGUAGGAAGCCCCCGGGACAGGGUUGGGGGCUGCACCCACAUGCGUGCCUUUCCCUCCCAGGCCAGCCUGAGGACAGAGUCCUUUUCAGGCCCUUGGGUCUUCUCGGCCACCCCUGCCUGGCCCUCCCCAUGCUGCCUCUGCCCAGGGCCCCCAGCUGGGCCUGCUUGGGCAGGGAUCUGACCUCUGCUUGGCCGGCUGUCAUGCACAGCCACACUCUGCCCUGGGGAACAGCUCUGCAAGCGUCGGUGGCUCUGAAUGAGCACACUGUGGUUUUAGAGGAAAAGCCCCUCAACCUGCUCAGAAGCAGACGCCCGCCUGCUUCUCUGUAGAAGGACAGAAUGCCCUCCUCCCAGUCCCCAGCAGUCCCUGUGCCCAGACCAAGAAGCUGGUGUCCUGCCUGGGCCUGCCUCCUCUGGCCCUCCGGCCUGCCCACACUCACCCCUUCUCCCUCCCCAGGACCAUGUACUGGUCAGACUGGGGCAACCACCCCAAGAUUGAAACGGCAGCGAUGGAUGGGACGCUUCGGGAGACACUGGUGCAGGACAACAUUCAGUGGCCCACAGGCCUGGCCGUGGAUUAUCACAAUGAGCGGCUGUACUGGGCAGACGCCAAGCUUUCAGUCAUCGGCAGCAUCCGGCUCAAUGGCACGGACCCCAUUGUGGCUGCUGACAGCAAACGAGGCCUAAGUCACCCCUUCAGCAUCGACGUCUUUGAGGAUUACAUCUAUGGUGUCACCUACAUCAAUAAUCGUGUCUUCAAGAUCCAUAAGUUUGGCCACAGCCCCUUGGUCAACCUGACAGGGGGCCUGAGCCACGCCUCUGACGUGGUCCUUUACCAUCAGCACAAGCAGCCCGAAGUGACCAACCCAUGUGACCGCAAGAAAUGCGAGUGGCUCUGCCUGCUGAGCCCCAGUGGGCCUGUCUGCACCUGUCCCAAUGGGAAGCGGCUGGACAACGGCACAUGCGUGCCUGUGCCCUCUCCAACGCCACCCCCAGAUGCUCCCCGGCCUGGAACCUGUAACCUGCAGUGCUUCAACGGUGGCAGCUGUUUCCUCAAUGCACGGAGGCAGCCCAAGUGCCGCUGCCAACCCCGCUACACGGGUGACAAGUGUGAACUGGACCAGUGCUGGGAGCACUGUCGCAAUGGGGGCACCUGUGCUGCCUCCCCCUCUGGCAUGCCCACGUGCCGGUGCCCCACGGGCUUCACGGGCCCCAAAUGCACCCAGCAGGUGUGUGCGGGCUACUGUGCCAACAACAGCACCUGCACUGUCAACCAGGGCAACCAGCCCCAGUGCCGAUGCCUACCCGGCUUCCUGGGCGACCGCUGCCAGUACCGGCAGUGCUCUGGCUACUGUGAGAACUUUGGCACAUGCCAGAUGGCUGCUGAUGGCUCCCGACAAUGCCGCUGCACUGCCUACUUUGAGGGACCGAGGUGUGAGGUGAACAAGUGCAGCCGCUGUCUCGAAGGGGCCUGUGUGGUCAACAAGCAGAGUGGGGAUGUCACCUGCAACUGCACGGAUGGCCGGGUGGCCCCCAGCUGUCUGACCUGCGUCGGCCACUGCAGCAAUGGCGGCUCCUGUACCAUGAACAGCAAAAUGAUGCCUGAGUGCCAGUGCCCACCCCACAUGACAGGGCCCCGGUGUGAGGAGCACAUCUUCAGCCAGCAGCAGCCAGGACAUAUAGCCUCCAUCCUAAUCCCUCUGCUGUUGCUGCUGCUGCUGCUUCUGGUGGCCGGAGUGGUAUUCUGGUAUAAGCGGCGAGUCCAAGGGGCUAAGGGCUUCCAGCACCAACGGAUGACCAACGGGGCCAUGAACGUGGAGAUUGGAAACCCCACCUACAAGAUGUACGAAGGCGGAGAGCCUGAUGAUGUGGGAGGCCUACUGGACGCUGACUUUGCCCUGGACCCUGACAAGCCCACCAACUUCACCAACCCCGUGUAUGCCACACUCUACAUGGGGGGCCACGGCAGUCGCCACUCCCUGGCCAGCACGGACGAGAAGCGAGAACUCCUGGGCCGCGGCCCUGAGGACGAGAUAGGGGACCCCUUGGCAUAGGGCCCUGCCCCGUCGGACUGCCCCCAGAAAGCCUCCUGCCCCCUACCAGUGAAGUCCUUCAGUGAGCCCCUCCCCAGCCAGCCCUUCCCUGGCCCCGCCGGAUGUAUAAAUGUAAAAAUGAAGGAAUUACAUUUUAUAUGUGAGCGAGCAAGCCGGCAAGCGAGCACAGUAUUAUUUCUCCAUCCCCUCCCUGCCUGCUCCUUGGCACCCCCAUGCUGCCUUCAGGGAGACAGGCAGGGAGGGCUUGGGGCUGCACCUCCUACCCUCCCACCAGAACGCACCCCACUGGGAGAGCUGGUGGUGCAGCCUUCCCCUCCCUGUAUAAGACACUUUGCCAAGGCUCUCCCCUCUCGCCCCAUCCCUGCUUGCCCGCUCCCACAGCUUCCUGAGGGCUAAUUCUGGGAAGGGAGAGUUAUUUGCUGCCCCUGUCUGGAAGACGUGGCUCUGGGUGAGGUAGGCGGGAAAGGAUGGAGUGUUUUAGUUCUUGGGGGAGGCCACCCCAAACCCCAGCCCCAACUCCAGGGGCACCUAUGAGAUGGCCAUGCUCAACCCCCCUCCCAGACAGGCCCUCCCUGUCUCCAGGGCCCCCACCGAGGUUCCCAGGGCUGGAGACUUCCUCUGGUAAACAUUCCUCCAGCCUCCCCUCCCCUGGGGACGCCAAGGAGGUGGGCCACACCCAGGAAGGGAAAGCGGGCAGCCCCUUUUUGGGGACGUGAACGUUUUAAUAAUUUUUGCUGAAUUCCUUUACAACUAAAUAACACAGAUAUUGUUAUAAAUAAAAUUGU